UACAGAGGGUGCGAGCGUUAAUCGGAAUUACUGGGCGUAAAGCGCACGUAGGUGGCGACGUAAGUCGGGUGUGAAAUCCUGGAGCUCAACUCCAGAACUGCCUUCGAUACUGAGAGUCUUGAGUCCGGGAGAGGUGAGUGGAACUGCGAGUGUAGAGGUGAAAUUCGUAGAUAUUCGCAAGAACACCAGUGGCGAAGGCGGCUCACUGGCCCGGUACUGACGCUGAGGUGCGAAAGCGUGGGGAGCAAACAGG
rnacentral:rRNA from 1 species